UAAUAAUGAAGAUUAACGUAUUGAAGCCGGAUAAUAUAUAAAGUUGCGAUCGAUGCUUACAUUUCUCUGAUAUUUUCGCACAGCACACAAUGUAACAAAAAAAUUAUCAGAUCAUCGAAUCGAUCGUGAGCUGUUAGGAAAGUAUUACCUAAAAACAAUGGAUACUUGCCUCCGGUAUUCAAACAUCGUCAUAAUCCAAUCUACCGACACAACUAAAUCGGCCAACUUAUCUUUUAGACAAGGAAGACUUCAAGUACCUACUUGAUUUAUUUAAAAAAUCGCACCAUUAUGGAGAAUAAUAAAAAGUAUAACCACAAUUACAAUUCAUCGCAAGAUAUAUUAUGAAUACAUAUGAUAAUUAAUACAUUUUACCUUAAUUUAUAAAGUUAAAUAUAGAAUAAUCACAUUAAAUAAACGAAUAUUUAGAUAGGCAACAGCUUGGUUCUGCCCCGGGCAUUGCUGACGUCCAUGGGCGACGGUAACUGCUCACCAUUAGGUGUUCGUCUGCUAACAAAGACUAUAAAAAAAAUAUGGUAAAACAAUGCUAUAACACAUAAGUAUGAUAUAGAAAUCCGACUAACACAAAAAAAUUAAAGUGUGCAUGAUAUUUUAUUCAAAAACACACACAGAUUCCAAGCAAUUAUACAGUGGGUAAAAGAGACCCAGUUACAUAGUAUUAUGCCAUAACCAAUGGAAAGUAGUGUGGGGAUAGCUUCAUCGAAGAAGCGACCAGCACAGUUAAGUGGAAGUGGUGACAAGUGACUGUCAUUUCCGAUAUACCUUGCACGUAGCUUACAACAUUCAAAAAGUGAUAAAAAAGAUUUUUAAUAAACUCUUAUUCAUUCCACAAAAAUGUUAAAUCUAUAAUUUUGUGAUAAAUAAGAAAGUUUUUUUUUCUUCGGAUGGGUAAAUUAUCGUACAUUACGCAGGCUUAAAUUGUUGGUUUCUUUUGAGGAUUUUUUUGAAGGAAAAUUUCAAUGGACCUUACAAAAUUUCUGAUUAUUACCAUUACCCUAGCAAUAAUCCUGACCACUUGCGAUGGUUUCAUCCAAAACUGGUUACCAAGCUUUUUUGGGUCAAAAAAGGGAAGACGCAGUUUAUCCGAAGUUAUAACCAAUUACCUGGACGAGGUGUUCCCUAAAGACGAUAAAGAAUCUAGAACUAUGAAGCAGAUUUUCAUGAUGCUGUCGGAUGAUGGAAACAAAGAUAUGGAAACUCAACUUGAAGGCAUAGAGUUUUUGUUAGAAUAGUAUUAAUAAUAUUGAUUGAAAAAAUUGUGACUGAUAAUUUAAAUAGAUAUAUGUAUUUAUUAUUAUACAAA